UACGUAGGGGGCAAGCGUUGUCCGGAAUCAUUGGGCGUAAAGAGCGUGUAGGCGGCCCGGUAAGUCCGCCGUGAAAGUCCAGGGCUCAACCCUGGAAUGCCGGUGGAUACUGUCGGGCUAGAGUCCGGAAGGGGCGAGUGGAAUUCCUGGUGUAGCGGUGAAAUGCGCAGAUAUCAGGAAGAACACCCGUGGCUAAGGCGGCUCUCUAGUACGGUACUGACGCUGAGACGCGAAAGCGUGGGGAGCGAACAGG
rnacentral:rRNA from 1 species